rnacentral:rRNA from 1 species
GAUGAACGCUAGCGGCAGGCCUAACACAUGCAAGUCGAGGGGUAGAACACUUCGGUGUUUGAUACCGGCGCACGGGUGCGUAACGCGUAUGCAAUCUACCUUGUACAGGGGAAUAGCCCAGAGAAAUUUGGAUUAAUGCCCCAUAGUAUAUAACCUUCGCAUGUUGGUUAUAUUAAAGUUCCAACGGUACAAGAUGAGCAUGCGUCGCAUUAGGUAGUUGGUAAGGUAACGGCUUACCAAGACGAUGAUGGGUAGGGGUCCUGAGAGGGAGAUCCCCCACACUGGUACUGAGACACGGACCAGACUCCUACGGGAGGCAGCAGUGAGGAAUAUUGGUCAAUGGGCGCAAGCCUGAACCAGCCAUGCCGCGUGCAGGAAGACGGUCCUAUGGAUUGUAAACUGCUUUUAUACAGGAAGAAACCCUCCCACGUGUGGGAGAUUGACGGUACUGUAGGAAUAAGGAUCGGCUAACUCCGUGCCAGCAGCCGCGGUAAAAC